AGCUUGCAUCAACAUGCCCAACAAGCGGGCUGCACGCGCCUCUCUAAUGGGACAGUGUGAGGUGCCACUGCGGUGAUUAUGAAGCAGCUCGACAUCUGGAGGUGGGGGCAUGUCAGCCCCACCCUGCAGCCUGAGCAGGGCCAGGCAACCUUUGCAAGAUGAGUGAAUGAAUGAAUUGGGAUGUCAUCCUGGGUGAAUAACAUAACUCCUAUAACUGCUCUGGUUUUGUUCUAUAAAUAGCCUGAACAGAAAAUUCUAGAUGCUGUUAUUCCUUGUGAAUUUCUGUGUCAGGGUUGAUGACAAUACAGAGGAUACCAGCUACUUUAUGGUCAAACACCCAUUCUUUAGAAAUCUGGAAAAUCUGUCCACCAGGAAAAUUCAGUUGGGUGAUACAAAGUUCUUAUUUUGCAAACCAGUUGAUCAUGGUGUAUCAGAGAAAGAUCAUAUUUAAGAGACAAACUGCAAUAGAAAUUCAAAUUUCUUACCAGGUGAAUGUGAUCAGGCCCUGGAGCCCAUUUCUUGUUGCCUCUUCCACCUC
rnacentral:lncRNA from 1 species